GGAAUAUUGCGCAAUGGAGGAAACUCUGACGCAGUGACGCCGCGUGCAGGAAGAAGGUUUUCGGAUUGUAAACUGCUUUAGACAGGGAAGAAGAAUGACAGUACCUGUAGAAUAAGCUCCGGCUAACUACGUGCCAGCAGCCGCGGUAAUACGUAGGGAGCAAGCGUUAUCCGGAAUUAUUGGGUGUAAAGAGUGCGUAGACGGGAAGGUAAGUUGGUAUGUGAAAUCCCUCGGCUUAACUGAGGAACUGCAACCAAAACUGUUUUUCUUGAGUGCUGGAGAGGAAAGUGGAAUUCCUAGUGUAGCGGUGAAAUGCGUAGAUAUUAGGAGGAACACCAGUGGCGAAGGCGACUUUCUGGACAGUAACUGACGUUGAGGCACGAAAGCGUGGGGAGCAAACA
rnacentral:rRNA from 1 species